AUUGCCCUAGUAACGGCGAGUGAAGCGGCAACAGCUCAAAUUUGAAAUCUGGCCCUCGGGUCCGAGUUGUAAUUUGUAGAGGAUGCUUUUGGUGCGGUACCUUCCGAGUUCCCUGGAACGGGACGCCAUAGAGGGUGAGAGCCCCGUCUGGUUGGAUACCAAUCCUCUGUAAAGCUCCUUCGACGAGUCGAGUAGUUUGGGAAUGCUGCUCUAAAUGGGAGGUAUAUGUCUUCUAAAGCUAAAUACCGGCCAGAGACCGAUAGCGCACAAGUAGAGUGAUCGAAAGAUGAAAAGCACUUUGAAAAGAGAGUUAAAAAGCACGUGAAAUUGUUGAAAGGGAAGCGCUUAUGACCAGACUUGGACUUGGUUGAUCAUCCGGCGUUCUCGCCGGUGCACUCUUCCGGUUCAGGCCAGCAUCAGUUUGCUUCGGGGGAUAAAGGCUUUGGGAAUGUGGCUCCCUCGGGAGUGUUAUAGCCCAUUGUGUAAUACCCUGGAGCGGACUGAGGUACGCGUUCUGCAAGGAUGCUGGCGUAAUGGUCAUCAGUGACCCGUCUUGAAACACGGACCAAGGAGUCGUCUUCGUAUGCGAGUGUUCGGGUGUAAAACCCCUACGCGUAAUGAAAGUGAACGCAGGUGAGAGCUUCGGCGCAUCAUCGACCGAUCCUGAUGUUCUCGGAUGGAUUUGAGUAAGAGCAUACGGGGCCGGACCCGAAAGAAGGUGAACUAUGCCUGUGUAGGGUGAAGCCAGAGGAAACUCUGGUGGAGGCUCGCAGCGGUUCUGACGUGCAAAUCGAUCGUCAAAC
rnacentral:rRNA from 1 species